GGGAGGACUUCCCUUCCCCUUAACCCGGCCAUGGCUUCCCUCCCCACCUUUGGUGUUAGGAUGUAUAUAUUGUUUUGGUUCUCUUGAGCAGCUUGGUUUUCAUGCAGAGGGAUGUUUUGUGCUGCUCGGUGUUGCAUUGCUUUUUUUGUUGUUCUUCCUGGUUAUGCUUUGCAGGUUUUAUGGAAGAGAGGCAUCAGUUGUUGCUGAGGGCGUG
rnacentral:misc_RNA from 1 species